rnacentral:rRNA from 1 species
GACGAACGCUGGCGGCGUGCUUAACACAUGCAAGUCGAACGGAAAGGCCCUGCUUUUGUGGGGUGCUCGAGUGGCGAACGGGUGAGUAACACGUGAGUAACCUGCCCUUGACUUUGGGAUAACUUCAGGAAACUGGGGCUAAUACCGGAUAGGGGCUCCUGCUGCAUGGUGGGGGUUGGAAAGUUUCGGCGGUUGGGGAUGGACUCGCGGCUUAUCAGCUUGUUGGUGGGGUAGUGGCUUACCAAGGCUUUGACGGGUAGCCGGCCUGAGAGGGUGACCGGCCACAUUGGGACUGAGAUGCGGCACAGACUCCUACGGGAGGCAGCAGUGGGGAAUAUUGCACAAUGGGCGGAAGCCUGAUGCAGCAACGCCGCGUGCGGGAUGACGGCCUUCGGGUUGUAAACCGCUUUCGCCUGUGACGAAGCGUGAGUGACGGUAAUGGGUAAAGAAGCACCGGCUAACUACGUG